rnacentral:rRNA from 1 species
GCGCACGCUGGCGGCAGGCCUCACACAUGCAAGUCGAACGAACCUUUCGGGGUUAGUGGCGGACGGGUGAGUAACACGUGGGAACGUGCCUUUAGGUUCGGAAUAACUCAGGGAAACUUGUGCUAAUACCGAAUGUGCCCUUCGGGGGAAAGAUUAAUCGCCUUUAGAGCGGCCCGCGUCUGAUUAGCUAGUUGGUUGAGGUAAUGGCUCACCAAGGCGACGAUCAGUAGCUGGUCUGAGAGGAUGAUCAGCCACAUUGGGACUGAGACACGGCCCAAACUCCUACGGGAGGCAGCAGUGGGGAAUCUUGCGCAAUGGGCGAAAGCCUGACGCAGCCAUGCCGCGUGAAUGAUGAAGGUCUUAGGAUUGUAAAAUUCUUUCACCGGGGACGAUAAUGACGGUACCCGGAGAAGAAGCCCCGGCUAACUUCGUG